GCCGCAAGGUGAGUAAAGUGGCGUACGGGUGAGUAACACGUGGAUCAUCUACCUUUUAGUGGGGAAUACCGCUGGGAAACCGGCGACAAUACCGCAUAAGCUCGAGAGAGGAAAGCCGAAAGGCGCUGAAAGAGGAGUCCGCGGCCGAUUAGCUAGUUGGUGAGGUAAUGGCCCACCAAGGCUGUGAUCGGUAGCCGGCCUGAGAGGGCACACGGCCACACUGGCACUGAAACACGGGCCAGACUCCUACGGGAGGCAGCAGUGGGGAAUCUUGCACAAUGGGGGCAACCCUGAUGCAGCGACGCCGCGUGAGCGAUGAAGCCCUUCGGGGUGUAAAGCUCUUUCGGCAGGGAAGAUUAUGACGGUACCUGCAGAAGCAGCUGCGGCUAACUACGUGCCAGCAGCCGCGGUAAUACGUAGGCAGCAAGCGUUGUUCGGAGUUACUGGGCGUAAAGGGUGCGUAGGCGGCUCUAUAAGUAUGGUGUGAAAUCUCCCGGCUUAACUGGGAGGGUGCGCCGUAGACUGUGGGGCUAGAGUGUGGGAGAGGAAAGUGGAAUUCCUGGUGUAGCGGUGAAAUGCGUAGAUAUCAGGAGGAACACCGGUGGUGUAAACGGCUUUCUGGACCAUAACUGACGCUGAGGCACGAAAGCGUGGGUAGCAAACAGGAUUAGAUACCCUGGUAGUCCACGCCCUAAACGAUGCAUAUUUUGGUGUGGGCCAUUCAUUUGGUCUGUGCCGGAGCUAACGCG
rnacentral:rRNA from 1 species